rnacentral:lncRNA from 1 species
CAUUUCUUUAUUGGUGCCAUCUCCAUUCUCAACCAGCGUCAAUCCUGAGGUAGCUGUGUUUGCUGCAGGAGAUGACUGAUUUGAGUUUUGGUAUCUGCUUCUGCUUGAAUCUGAUAUAUGUGAUGCUACAUAUCUGUUUGUGUGUGAUUCUUCCAUUUCAAUGCACCGAACUUCCUUGCAAACAUCCUCCGAAUUUACAUCAGACUGUUCUUUGUUCUCCUCCUGAUGCAGAUUUGCAUCAAUGGAAUUAGGAAAACUAACAGACAACUGGCUGGACGAGAACGUGUGUGGGAUCAGGAAAUUUUCCUCAAAGUCCGGAAGUUGGAGUAAAGUAUCAUCAGAACUAGUCCUGCUGUCUACAUCUGAAUACUGAGAUGUGCCAAAAGAUCUAACACUGCCUCGGCGAUGGUGAGAACCAGCCAGACCAGGUAUUCCUGAUGGUUGAAUUUCAAUGUUUUCCCAUGAAGUUCGCACUCGCAAUUUGGGGUAAUAACGAUCCAUAUCCGCCUACAUUAAUACGAAAACAAACUGAACUUAGUACAGGCAACAUAUAUUGAAGGAAAUUGGCUUCUUCAGUUUAGAAACACAUACUGGUGAUGGUUUAUCAUCUUCAAGCACUCGUACCAGAUCCUUAACCUGAGACUGAGCAAGGUCUCGUUGCAGGGUCAGCUCUGACACCUCUUUCUUAAGCUGCAAGGUGGGAGAAAAAACCCCCAAAGAUCCAGGUUAUAAACAGAAGAAUAAUAACAAACUAUGGUUUAUAACAAGGUAUGCACUAGAUAAAGACAUCCAGAUAUUCACACUUAAAAGAAGUCAAGAAUCACGACGCAGAACAAAAGCAGAUAACAUUCAUUUAUAAAUCCUCUUGAUCAAAAUUUAGAAAGACCGGAAUUUU